GAUGAACGCUGGCGGCGUGCCUAAUACAUGCAAGUCGAGCGAACGGACGAGAAGCUUGCUUCUCUGAUGUUAGCGGCGGACGGGUGAGUAACACGUGGAUAACCUACCUAUAAGACUGGGAUAACUUCGGGAAACCGGAGCUAAUACCGGAUGAUAUUUUGAACCGCAUGGUUCAAAAGUGAAAGACGGUCUUGCUGUCACUUAUAGAUGGAUCCGCGCUGCAUUAGCUAGUUGGUAAGGUAACGGCUUACCAAGGAAACGAUGCAUAGCCGACCUGAGAGGGUGAUCGGCCACACUGGAACUGAGACACGGUCCAGACUCCUACGGGAGGCAGCAGUAGGGAAUCUUCCGCAAUGGGCGAAAGCCUGACGGAGCAACGCCGCGUGAGUGAUGAAGGUCUUCGGAUCGUAAAACUCCGUUAUUAGGGAAGAACAUAUGUGUAAGUAACUGUGCACAUCUUGACGGUACCUAAUCAGAAAGCCACGGCUAACUACGUG
rnacentral:rRNA from 1 species